rnacentral:rRNA from 1 species
UACAGAGGGUGCGAGCGUUAAUCGGAAUGACUGGGCGUAAAGGGCGCGUAGGCGGUAAAGUAAGUGAGAUGUGAAAUCCCUGGGCUUAACCUAGGAAGGUCAUUUCAUACUGCGUUACUAGAGUAUUGUAGAGGGUAGUGGAAUUUCCGGUGUAGCGGUGAAAUGCGUAGAGAUCGGAAGGAACACCGGUGGCGAAGGCGGCUACCUGGACAAAUACUGACGCUGAGGCGCGAGAGCGUGGGGAGCAAACAGG